rnacentral:rRNA from 1 species
GACAGAGGGGGCAAGCGUUGCUCGGAAUCACUGGGCGUAAAGGGCGCGUAGGCGGGAUGGCAAGUCGGUCGUGAAAUCCUUCGGCUCAACCGAAGAACGUCGGCCGAUACUGCCGUUCUUGAGGGAUGCAGAGGAGAUUGGAAUUCCCGGUGUAGCGGUGAAAUGUGUAGAGAUCCGGAAGAACACCGGUGGCGAAGGCGGCCUGCUGGGCAGUUGCUGACACUGAGGCGCGACAGCGUGGGGAGCAAACAGG